AGUGGGAUUGUUGGGUGUUAUGGUAGUUCUAUUUUUAGUUUUUUGAGGAACCUUCAUACUGUUUUCCAUAAUGGCUGUACCAAUUCAUAAUCCCAACAACAGU
rnacentral:pre_miRNA from 1 species